CCCGGGAGGCAGCAGUGGGGAAUAUUGGACAAUGGGCGAAAGCCUGAUCCAGCCAUGCCGCGUGUGUGAAGAAGGCCUUCGGGUUGUAAAGCACUUUCAGUGGGGAAGAAAGCCUUGGGGCUAAUACCCUCGAGGAAGGACAUCACCCACAGAAGAAGCACCGGCUAACUCCGUGCCAGCAGCCGCGGUAAUACGGAGGGUGCGAGCGUUAAUCGGAAUUACUGGGCGUAAAGCGCGCGUAGGCGGUCUGAUAAGCCGGUUGUGAAAGCCCCGGGCUCAACCUGGGAACGGCAUCCGGAACUGUCAGGCUAGAGUGCAGGAGAGGAAGGUAGAAUUCCCGGUGUAGCGGUGAAAUGCGUAGAGAUCGGGAGGAAUACCAGUGGCGAAGGCGGCCUUCUGGACUGACACUGACGCUGAGGUGCGAAAGCGUGGGUAGCAAACAGGAUUAGAUACCCUUGUAGUC
rnacentral:rRNA from 1 species